rnacentral:tRNA from 1 species
GCCCUAGUAGCUUAAACCUACAAAGCACUGGUCUUGUAAACCAAAAAUGGGACUCACUCCCCUAGGACA